UUCCCGGGCCUCGUACACACCGCCCGUCACACCACGAAAGUUGGCAAUACCCGAAGCCGGUGGCCUAACCCGCAAGGGAGGGAGCCGUCGAAGGUAGGGUCGAUGAUUGGGGUG
rnacentral:rRNA from 1 species